GCUGAGCACUCCUACGGGAGGCAGCAGUGGGGAAUAUUGCACAAUGGGCGCAAGCCUGAUGCAGCCAUGCCGCGUGUAUGAAGAAGGCCUUCGGGUUGUAAAGUACUUUCAGCAGUGAGGAAGGUGGAUAUGUUAAUAGCAUAUUCAUUUGACGUUUAGCUGCAGAAGAAGCACCGGCUAACUCCGUGCCAGCAGCCGCGGUAAUACGGAGGGUGCGAGCGUUAAUCGGAAUUACUGGGCGUAAAGCGCAUGCAGGUGGUUUGUUAAGUCAGAUGUGAAAGCCCGGGGCUCAACCUCGGAAUUGCAUUUUGAAACUGGCAAACUAGAGUACUGUAGAGGGGGUAGAAUUUCAGGUGUAGCGGUGAAAUGCGUAGAGAUCUGAAGGAAUACCGGUGGCGAAGGCGGCCCCCCUGGACAGAUACUGACACUCAGAUGCGAAAGCGUGGGGAGCAAACAGGAUUAGAUACCCUGGUAG
rnacentral:rRNA from 1 species